GGGCCCGUGGCCUAGCCCGGUCAUGGCGCCCGGCUGAUAAUCGGGCCUGCCCAAAGUCCCGGGUUCGAAGCCCGGCGGGCCCACCA
rnacentral:tRNA from 1 species